AGCGCGCGGCGGAGCAUGGUUUU
rnacentral:piRNA from 1 species